GUGCUUGUUCCGUAGCACAUGUACCAAAACUGGAAUGAUACAGAGAAGAUUAGCAUGGCCCCUGUGCAAGGUUGACACAAAAAUUUGUGAAGUAUUCCAUAUUUUU
ensembl:snRNA U6 U6 spliceosomal RNA